rnacentral:rRNA from 1 species
GACGAACGCUGGCGGCGUGCUUAACACAUGCAAGUCGAGCGGAAAGGCCCUUCGGGGUACUCGAGCGGCGAACGGGUGGGUAACACGUGAGUAAUCUGCCCUUGGCUUUGGGAUAACUACCGGAAACGGUGGCUAAUACCGGAUACGACAACCGUCUGCAUGGGCUGGUUGUGGAAAGUUUUUUCGGCCAGGGAUGUGCUCGCGGCCUAUCAGCUUGUUGGUGGGGUAAUGGCCUACCAAGGCUUCGACGGGUAGCCGGCCUGAGAGGGUGACCGGCCACACUGGGACUGAGACACGGCCCAGACUCCUACGGGAGGCAGCAGUGGGGAAAAUUGGACAAUGGGCGGAAGCCUGAUCCAGCAACGCCGCGUGAGGGAUGACGGCCUUCGGGUUGUAAACCUCUUUCAGUACCGACGAAGCGCCGAUGAUGGUGGUGACGGUAGGUACAGAAGAAGCACCGGCCAACUACGUGC